AGACCGCCCAAAUUACGUGUUAAAUUGGAAAAAGUCGCGUAAACGCAAUACACUUAUGUUACCUCUUAGAGCCUUUGCGUCUUUAGUAUGGACAUACGCCCGUCACCACUAAAAAACAAAAGCCCCCCAAAGCCCUCGCUUUGAAGCUCCCUGAAACCCCACCGAAGUGCACAGGGAGUGGGUAGCAGGCGUGCACCUGCACUCGUCGGCGAGCUACCACCACCCCCUACAAACCACAUAAUAUUCCUUUUUUUCGUAAAGGGUAACCUGCGGARGGAUCAUUAYCGCGGGUUGUAGCUGGCCUUACGAGGCAUGUGCACGCCCUGCUCAUCCACUCUACACCUGUGCACUUACUGUGGGUUUCAGGAGCUUCGAAAGCGGAGGGCCUUUGCGGGCUUUUCGUUAUUAGUUGUGACUGGGCUCAUGUCCACUACAAACUCUUAUAAAGUAACAGAAUGUGUAUUGCGAUGUAACGCGUCUAUAUACAACUUUCAGCAACGGAUCUCUUGGCUCUCGCAUCGAUGAAGAACGCAGCGAAAUGCGAUAAGUAAUGUGAAUUGCAGAAUUCAGUGAAUCAUCGAAUCUUUGAACGCACCUUGCGCUCCUUGGUAUUCCGAGGAGCAUGCCUGUUUGAGUGUCAUGAAAUUCUCAACCUGACGGGUUCUUAACGGAGCUUGGUUCAGGCUUGGACUUGGAGGCUUGUCGGCUUGCUUUGUCGAGUCGGCUCCUCUCAAAUGCAUUAGCUUGGUUCUUUGCGGAUCGGCUCACGGUGUGAUAAUUGUCUACGCCGCGACCGUUGAAGCGUUUGAAUGGGCCAGCUUAUAGUCGUCUCCAUCGCGAGACAACAUUUCAUCGAACUCUGACCUCAAAUCASGCUGAGSAUCAUAYCMSCUGAACUUAAGCAUAUCAUAAGCCGGGGGAGAAAAAGAAAUUAUCGAGUUAUUGAAACGGGUUGUAGCUGGCCUUACGAGGCAGUGCACGCCCUGCUCAUCCCUCUCACUGUGCACUUACGUGGGUUUUCAGGAGCUUCAAAGGCGGAAGGGCCUUUGGCGGGCUUUUCGUUAUAGUUGUGACGGGCUCAGUCCCUACAACUCUUAUAGGUAACAAAGUGUAUGCGAUUACGCACUUUCUACUUUCACAACGAUCUUGGCGCAUCAUGAAAAAGCACACAGUGCUGAAGUAUGUGAUUGCAAUCAUGAUAGCGACUUUAACGCACUCGGUUUCUCUACUAACGCGUUGAGUGUUGCGAGAUUUCA
rnacentral:rRNA from 1 species